rnacentral:lncRNA from 1 species
UGUUCCUGUCACCCAGGCUGGAGCGCAAUGGCACGAUCUUGGCUCACUGCAACCUCCGCCUCGGGGGUCCAAGCGAUUCUCCUGCCUCAGCCUCCCGAGUAGCUGGGAUUACAGCCACCCACCACCACGCCAGGCUAAUUUUUGUAUUUUUAGUAGAGACGGGGUUUCACCAUGUUGCGCAGGCUAGUCUUGAACUCCUGACCUCACUAUCUGCCUGCCUUGGCCUCCCAAAGUGCUGGGAUUACAGGCGUGAGCCACUGCGCCUGGUCUAUUAUCUGUCUUUUACUAUAACCAUCCUAACAGCUCCUCAAGAGUUACUGAUCUAUGAAAUGGCAGAGAAUGGAAAAAAUUGUGACCAGAGACGUGUAGCAAUGAACAAGGAACAUCAUAAUGGAAAUUUCACAGACCCCUCUUCAGUGAAUGAAAAGAAGAGGAGGGAGCGGGAAGAAAGGCAGAAUAUUGUCCUGUGGAGACAGCCGCUCAUUACCUUGCAGUAUUUUUCUCUGGAAAUCCUUGUAAUCUUGAAGGAAUGGACCUCAAAAUUAUGGCAUCGUCAAAGCAUUGUGGUGUCUUUUUUACUGCUGCUUGCUGUGCUUAUAGCUACGU